GACGAACGCUGGCGGUGUGCUUAACACAUGCAAGUCGAACGGUAAGGCCCUUUCGGGGGUACACGAGUGGCGAACGGGUGAGUAACACGUGAGUAACCUGCCCUCAUCUCUGGGAUAACAGUCGGAAACGGUUGCUAAUACUGGAUAUGAGCUUGCAAGGCAUCUUGUGGGUUGGAAAGAUUUUUUUGGUUGGGGAUGGACUCGCGGCCUAUCAGCUUGUUGGUGAGGUAGUGGCUCACCAAGGCUUCGACGGGUAGCCGGCCUGAGAGGGCGAACGGCCACAUUGGGACUGAGAUACGGCCCAAACUCCUACGGGAGGCAGCUGUGGGGAAUAUUGCACAAUGGACGGAAGUCUGAUGCAGCAACGCCGCGUGCGGGAUGACGGCCUUCGGGUUGUAAACCGCUUUCAAUUGUGACGAAGCUUUUUGUGACGGUAGCAGUAGAAGAAGCACCGGCUAACUACGUG
rnacentral:rRNA from 1 species